GCUGAGAGCAAGAAGCAAUCUACUGUGUCUCUCCAUGACAUGCUUCUUCUGAAUGAAUCAGGAGGUCAUGGUGACUCUUGUAGUGAUGGUCACUGCUGGAGCUGGAGGAGGUAAUGGCAUUGAAGGGAGAGCCUGUGGCUGUUUCCAGAAAUGAGCAUGAGGCCUGUGACAAGGACAGCCCAGGCUGCUGGUAUAUGUGAUGGGGAGAGGAAGGUCUGCACACACCGGGGAGGCUGGCAAAGGAGAAAGGUGAUUAAGCUGGACUCAUAGACAUUUAGUUUUUAAUUUUAAGAAAAAGCUUUCCCACGGCAAUGGAGUGCACAGUUUCAAGACAAAUUCCAGCCUAGGAAAGAUGUAUGGACUGGCACAGAAAGUGUGAAAUAUCACAUGAGCUCUGCUGACAAGUCAGUACAGUUGUAAGAAGUCAAUGUAGCAUCAGCUGACAUGUGGGAGAAGAAAACCACAAACAAAUGUUUCUCUCUGCAGAGCAUUUCCAGCACACCUUAAUUCUGUGAAAGACGCUGGCAUGAGUUCCCAAUGCACAAGAACUGGAUGAAAAUGAACCAAUUUGCCAUUACUAUUUUUUCAAACACCUGGAUGCGUUGCCUGAGUGCAGGGAAGCUUGGCCAAGGUCAUGAUUAUUCUCUUCCUGAGACUGGGAUGUUCAACAGAGAAGAGUUCAGCUACUGGCAUCACAUCAACCACCUCAUGACCUGUGGUGAGUUUGAGCUCAAUAACACCUACAGAAGAGGCAGCUUCAUUGCAAAGGCAGAGUUGAGAUGUUCACUAAAUCCCAGCCAGAUACAAAUCUUCACAGAGUGCAGGUGACAGGGCAGCUUGAUGGGCAGCUUGAUGUUUAUGAAGGAAGAUUUUGCCUUGAAGCUCGGAUGGGUAGUGGGUGUAAAUUGCAAAUGACUUUUUUUUACCUCAGAAUCUAUCAUCAACUACUUUAAAAAUGAAUAUUAUUGUUUCGGAGAGUGCCAUCUGGUAGCUUUCAGCUAUCAGCUCUGCAAGGCUCAGGCAGGUUAGACCUGGGGAAGCACAAAAUCACUUUUGUGCUUGAUGCUCAUCUUACACUAAGGUUGUGGAGGCUUUUGGUCAGGCACUGCCUUUGUUUGCUUUCUUCGUUUUUAUGCAGCUAGGUAACAUAGCUGGGCCCAGCUCCACGGAGGACAUCUUGGGCAUGACUGCACUGCAACACAAAAAUCAUUACAACCAGACAAUCAGCUCUCAGACCAUGCCAGGGUCUGCUUUUUCUUUGAAAGGGAGUUGAAGCACUCGUGGAGGUUUAAUCGAAAUCUGAAUACGUGUGACUGAAAUUGGCUCCCUGUGAUUAUUUAUACAAGUAAAUCUCUGCUUCUCACAAGUUCCCAGAAAUCAAAUGCCAAACUUGUAUGAUCUUUUUUUUUUUUAAAGAAGCAAAUAUUUGUUGAAAAUUCUUUGCUGUAUUAAUUUUCCUCCGCCUUCUCUCAGGCAGCCCUGAUAGCGACGGAGAGACUCCUGGUGUGCAUCAAUCAACCUAGGAAAGAGGGACCAAAAUAGCUGAUUACUAGGUCUGUAAUGUCUUAUCCUCAGAAAGAAACCAAAUUUUCAGUUAGCUUUUAGAAUGGUUUGUUUUCCUCAUAUAUCUGCAUGCCCAACUAAAAUCUUCCAGGAAAUGAUCCUUAUUUCAACAGUAGGUAUGUCAGGUACAGGUAUUUUAAGGAGGAGGUAGUUUAAGCCAAGGGCUGCAUAUUUCCAUGUUUUCCUAACCCCCAGUUGAAAACCCAUCUGCUGGUAAGUGGUUUAUAACUUGACAGUCAGCCACCACUAUUUUUUAAAAUGUUCUACAAUGUUUAUAAUGUCAGUCCCUAUUGCUAACCUUUUAUUUUUUUUUCCUUUUACUUUCUUUACUUUCUCUCUUUUUUUUUUUUUUAUGGUAACCUUUUACCUUCUCUUUCCCUGCUCAGACCCAUUAGCAGGAUGUUGUGCAAUAUGGUGCUUGUCAUCUGUUUCAAAGACACAGUGAUGAGAUACAGGUAUGCCAGAUGGAUAAACCUAGUGUGACUAAUUAUUGUGUAUUUGCCUUUAAUUAUUAUCAUUUAUUACCAGAGAAAAGACAAUAGAGGUUCCCAGACUCGGAAGGGAAUGUCGGCAGAAGGGGAAUUUUUGUCUCUUUGGGUUUUUUGUUUUUUUUUUUUUCCAAGAGACUGGCACAUCAGCAAGAAAAGUUUACUUGAAGAGAAAUACUGCAAGAUAUCUGAGACAAAAGGAGACAACAUGACCCAAGCAAUACUUUCCUUUCCCUGGCACAUACUUGAGGAUCAGAUCUCUCACAGAUGCCUACUGAGGACAGACACUUCACUUAAUUCAGAACCCACAGCCUGGCCUGCUGGAUGAUUUUGAAGGAGUCUAGAUGGUUGACAAUGUUAAAAUCUUCGGGACAGCUUGAAAAGUAUUUGCUACUAUUGCUCUGGAGUUAAAAGUUACCUUGAAAACGUUUCUCCAUGGUAGUAAUCGAGGUGAUUCUUCCAUCGCUUCUCAAAAAUGGCAGUAUAUCAUUCCUAUCUUUCCUCCUCAAACUCUGCCCAGCAGGUUUCUGAAGACCUUUUUAAGGUGUCUUUGGGAUAACAGGGACCAGCAAACAACUUGUGACCCAAAAGAGAAAUAGCAGCAGUAGCAACAGGACUCUCCUCCAAUGCUCGUGAUGAUGUUUUGGAAAACUGUCUUAGGAAUUGCAGUGCUGGUAGAAUUGUUGAGGGAGUUUUUCUUCUGAAAAUCUCUGGGGAUCAGAUUUGGGCUUUGCAAUGCAACAUCUCAUCCAGGAGAUGUAGAAAUCAGAAUCACAUCAUCCUCUGAUGUUUAAGUUGCUUCAAAGCCAACUGCAAUGUGUACAACAACACAUUGAAACCCUCCACCAAGCCGCCUUCCCUGGUGAUUUUGUGAGCAACCUCUGGAUGAGAUAGCUUUAUUGGAAUUGUUGUUCUUCUAUGUGGCCAAAGGGAAGUGAACUGGAUGAACAUUCUGCUGUGCCACACAGACCAGCCAAUGCACUCCACGUGUGUGCAGCAGGUUGAACACCUUCCUGAGAAAAACAGGAUUUCUGCAUGGAUGGAGGAUGAGCACUCAGACGCACACCUGAACUCUGCAGCAUCAUGUUCAAAGUGCUGACAGCAUUGCCUCACCAUCCAUCUUGGGCACAACUCCUUCUUCAAGUUAAAGUUUUCUACCUGUCUCAACCAAAUAGAGAGAUUCAAACCAACGUUUUAGCUGGACAACACCAGGAGUGAAAAUUAUCUCAGCCUUCUGCUUCUUCCAGUGUGUCUUUAUGGGCCUGAAGUCAGUCUCUUUCCUGUGCAAAUAAAGGUAUUUCCCUGUCAUCCCAUGUGAAGGGCUGGUCAGUACAAAGCAAAUAAAUGACACUCAUGGAUGUUGGAUCAUGUGUCACCUUGUCUGAUGUGCCUCCAGAUUUGCUGAGAAUGUCACCAUGAAUGUCCAUUGGCAAACUGGAUAAGAAAGAGUGUCACAGUGCAGGACAACCUAGAAGAUGACAGGUAUUUCCAGGCAUAGCAAUGAUGAGAUCAAAUUCCCCUCAACCUGCCUUGUUUGCUGAUCCUUUAAUCAGAUUCAACUUCAUAGCAGCUACAGCACAAGGUUCCCUGACAAUGUAUGACAGCAUGUGACAGGAAAAUAUUUUUUUUUUUUCUUUUUUGGCCAUUUGAUGCUAUUUGAGAUAAAUCUGAAGCCCCAGCAGCAUCUGAUAAAUCUACCAAACUACUUUAGUGGAGGUUUUUUAACUAUGCAUAAUUGAACUGCAGGGUUUGGGGUUCGUGUUCAUGUGUUUGUAGUGGAAUCCAAGCAGGAAGGCUGGGAAAUGAUCUAAACCCUUUGAGGUUAACCAGCCAUGAAAGAGCAUCAACGACAGAAGAGGACAUUAUUAAAAAGCAGCCAGCCUCACUCAAAAAGAACCACUGUGUGAAGCCAGAGCUGGAAGAACAACACCCAGGGCUGUUUGUGGUCCUGCAGGGAUAUGUAUUUCAUCCCCCGUCUUCAUCUCCAAAUUUCCUCUGAACUGCUUCUGAGCUGAAUUCUUGAGAAAGGAAAACACCAGCAAAUUUUAAAUGGGACUUAUCAACCUUUUCCCUACAAUCUGCUUCAUAUUCCCCUCACACCCAUGUUCUUGCAGUGUCUUGGGGAAAUGCUUGGAUCAAAGAUAAGAGAGAACAAGGAAAGGAGUGAAGCAAGAAACAAACAACAAAACAAAACCAGCACUCCCGAAAUUUUUUGAUGAAACUCCUCUGCGAAUCGUGUGCAUGGUUACAGCAAAGUUAAAACUGCCUUCUUCUUCACCAGUACUUAAUUCCUGCUUUUAAAAUCAGGCUCCCUUUGAUCUUCAGGAUUGAAAUGAUCUGGAAAUGAAACAGCCAGUGCCUUGCAGAAAAUCUGGAGAGGGUCCCAGACAUGGCUUUUACCUGGAAGUCUUCCAAAACAGGAUGAAAUCUCUCUGGUUUCAGAACAAAUUGCAAGAUUUUUUCUCCAUGUCUAGUCCAACUGUGGAACUCUAGCCCUGAUGUCUGCUGCUUCCCAAAGCACAGAUGUAAUAACCUCUGAGGUGAAAUGAGAGCAUUAUUCCCCCUUCUUCUCCCCUCUGCCUCUCCUCCGAGGGUUGAGGGCUGAGAGAAUUUUAUUAAAGUGAAGGCUUAAAGAUUUGGGCAGACUUAAUUUGAGGAGACAGUUGGUUAUAACCCAGUCUAGGGCCAUCCAUGUGAAGGCUGGAGAGGACAGAGCACCAGGAGCAUCUGUGACAUCUGGAUCAUGUUGAAAGCUCAGAAAUAUCUGCCUGGCUUCGCGUGACCUGGCCCCAGCCAAAAGGGCUGAGAAAUGUGGUUAAGAGACUGCAGCAAGUUUUGCCCUAGCAAAUGAGUCCCACUGAGAAAGCAAGCACAUAAAUAUUUCUCUGAGUCUGUUUCUUUUAGUGAAUAUAUUUCCAUAUGUUGCAUUAAUAUUUCUUUUAUUGUGUCUUGUAAGUCCAUCUGGUAUUUGUAUUGGGAGGGCUUGAGCUGGCAAAUCCCUGCACUGCUGUUACACACAAAUCUGGACAGCCCUUACAAGGACAGAUUCUCCCAGCACUUCUAUUAUGCAGCAGUAUUAGCAAGUAUCCACUCUGGACUGCAUCCAUGUAUGAAUUUACAGUUCUUGAGAACUUUCCUGCAUCUUAGCAAAAAAUGAAGAGAGGAUAUUUAUUAAAGCAAUAUUCCAGCUAGACCCCCUCAACAACCUGUGCCUGGAGCCUUAUCCAUUAUAAUAUAUGCAGCAAAAAGUCCAAACUGAAACUUACUCAUCUUCUCUGAAUUCUGGCAAAGUUUAAAGUGGACACAAGCUCAGGAAGGAAUCCUACUCCUGCAGCAAACCUUCUCCCCAGAACCUCCCCAGUCCUGCAGAAGCUCACACUUGGGCCUGAGCUGUCCAUCUUCCAAACAUGCAUCCAUCUUCCAGAAACAUCCUUAGGCAUCCUGUGGGCUCUGCUCUGCCUUAAACCUCACAUU